rnacentral:lncRNA from 1 species
GCAGAGCUGAGGCCAGUGCAGGCUCCUCUGCCUCCUACCGCCCAGGGCAAGCUUAGGAGGUGUCCUAAACCUGCCUAAAUUGCCAGGGCAACUGUGAGGCAAUGCACAGAAGCUCACUCGGCCACAGGGUGAUACAGUGGACCCACGCAGAGCCAAGGAAGCUGCACAGGGACAAGGGCUGAUGAUAUUGAAAGUUCAUAUGGAUCAGGAAAGAGCAAAAUCAAGCAUAGUGCUGCAACUGAUCUGGACGCUUCCUUCCUGAUGGCUGGCUUUCCUGAUGCUGGAAUGUGCCUUGCAGGUUCUGGGAGAGAAAAAUCAUUACAGGCUUAAGUUCCUGUGCUACAUGACUGACCUGCUGAGCAAUAUGCUACUGGAGUGAUAGUUUUAUGACCGUUAAGGGAAUAGUCAGCUGCUUUUGACUGAAUUUGAGGUCAGCUACACUUGGAAUUCACAUUCGGUUCUAGAAAGCUGUUCAGUAACCCUUGGCUGGGCAGCCACUAGGCCCUGCUGUGGAAGGUUCUACUGUUUUGCUAAAUGAGCACGUUGCACCCAGCAAAUUGCCUUCUAAAUAGUUAUGUCUAUGUCUACGUCUACAUAUUAGUGCUGCUCUCAGCUUCGGUCACACAAACUUCUUUUUCAGUUAGUGGCAGCUAUUGCAGCAGAGACUCAGGGUCAACAUGCUAAGAGUUGGUGACUGUUGAAGACUCAGCACUAAAUAUACAUCAAUAUCAUUCCAAGGCUCAGGGACCAUUGUGGAAGAUGGAGUGGAAAAAAAAAUCUAAGAGACAGUAGAGGUAGUGGGAACUGAUGGGACUCUGUCUUCAGGCAACAUCAUGUUCUACACACAUGAACUCAGAGCAGCACCUGAACAAGUCUGGGUACCUCAGCAUUGCAUUAUAGUGUUUAUACCUGUGGCAUGAUCAAAGAGGCCUAGUAAUGAAGAAAUUCUUGGCUGGCCAAGGUGCUGAGAGCAAGUGACUGAUCAGUGCUCAUAGAAUGUUGUAGAAGAAGGGGAUUGUGAGCACCAGACAAUGGUGGGGUGAGGAGGGCUGCGAUAAGCUAUCUUCAGGGAAAUGGCAUGACUAUGGUUCGCAUGAAUUCAGAGCAGCUACAGAUACCUGAGCCUCUACAAGACGGAGCCUAUAAACCUUCAUUCUCUUAACUGUGUGUUUCCCACCAGAGCUGGAUGUGAAGCCCCUGUUGGCUGAGAAUUCCACUGCUGUGGUUUUAGGGCAUAGAGAAAUCAAGGGGAAGCCAAGCUGGAAGCUUUCUCCCUCCUGGCUGAUCUGAUAGUGCCAGAGUAUGCUGUGAAUGAAGAUCCUGAGGGCAAAAAGUCACCGCCAAGCGUACUCAGUUCCAGGCCCUCUGCCACGAUAACUACCUGCUAGGCAUUAUACUUACCGUUGGAGUGAAGGGAAAGUCACAUGAAGAGUUCACACCGAGUCUCAGAGGAGCCAAUGAACAAAAUCUGGGACUAUAAAGACCAUGAAGUCCUUUGAAGAGUGACUAAGCGCAUUGUACACCGAGAUGCACAGGAGCCUGUAGAAACUAAGACAUUUGGAGCAGCAGGAUGCCAUUGAGAAGAGGUUGGGAAUGUUAAAGCUGUAAGUUCCAGUCCAUUCUCAGAAAGCUAACCAAGAGACGUCUUGUAUCAGAUCAACUCUCAGAAUCAGAAGGUCUCAGAGGGCAUAAGAGUGGGCCAGUUCCUACGUAAGAGUUGGUCCUUCAGCAUGUGGUUGCAGAUUACAUCUCCAAGGCUGAGGCAGGAACCUGGCUGCUUCCUCCAGCUGGAGCACUGGGUCUUGAUCUGUUUGUGCUAGUGGUUUAGAGGAAAGCUACAGUCUUCCUCCUCAUCUUCUUCCAUUAGUGGCCCUAUGAGUGUGACUAUAGAGUCAUCAAUCUUCCGUCAAAGUCAGGGAUCCAGAGGCAGGAUCCAACUGAGAACUAGGCAGGUGAAACUGACAUGUAUGCAGUUUCAGGAGCUCCUUGCCUUAUGCAUGUAUUGUAGGUAAAGAACAGGGACCAAUCAGGGGAAAGCCUGCCAAACCCAGAGAAGAAAGGACAGCCAGAAACUACCCAGGACAGAGAAUCGGGUGGGGGGAGGGAUUCAAUCAGGUCUGCUGCUCUGUCCCCUAUCCCUCACUGCACUGCAGAGAAAGCUGGACAAGAAGGCAGGAGAUUAUGGUCCAAUCGCAAUCGCAACUGGAGUUUUCACCUGUGUUCAUUUCCCAGUGUUAUUUUUAAAAGUCUCCAGCUGUUGAUUCAACCUCCAGUUGGGGCUGCUAUUAUCUUUCCCUCUCCUUUCAACAUGAAUCCCUUGGGGCUAGAGGUAAAGAUGACUAGAAUGCCCUAUGAAAACCUCUGCCAUGGUAUAGAUGACUAGAAUACCCUAUGAAGAACCUCUGCCAUUUGCUACCUCCCUCUUCUGUUCUGGAAAGGCCCUGAGUCCUAGGAUAAAGAACACAUAGGAGCCACAGUUUCCCACAUGUGUCCUUGUUUGUUCUGUGUGCCCACAUAAAGCUUACCUUAACACAGUGUCCUCAGAGCCAUGGAGCGCGAUAUGCAGUAGCUGAGCACUUUAAAUCCAAGGAGAUGCAUGCCUGAGUGACUGAUCACUCUGCUCUUCCUCCCUCUCCAAGCUGGGUCUCCUGUCUCAUUUGUUGAUUUUUAUUUUCUCUCCCCCAUUACUUCCUAUUCCCACCUCAUACAACUCCCUCCUCACUAGGACAGUGUCUAGAUAAAACCUCCAAUUUACUUCACCCUGAGACUGUACAUAAUUCUGGUUUACCAAUAGACAAGGACAUGGGUAAAAGCAGAGAUAAAACCAAAUGUCAAGUUAUACCUGGCUUUCUCCUGUCAGUUGUUUUUAUAAAUCUCACCUUGCCCACUCAUUUUUGGGGGGACACCCUCAUUUGACAAAUCUGACAAACAUGAUGAGGGUUUGGAGGGUAAUAUGAAGCAGCAAAGUCUUAAGAGGCAUAUCCUACUUUUCCUCCCACCCCUACCCCCCCACCCCCGGGCUGGCCUGAACUAGAUUCUGAUGUCUCAAUGUGUUCGGGGACACUUUGAAAGGUCUUCUUUGAUAAACUGUAGGAGAAGCUUGUUUCUUCUGUGUAUACCCCACUGCUCCUGAGUAAGCAAAUACAUGGUUCAGUCAUAAAGCCUCUCUGGGCUUUGCUCAGAAUAGUUGUCCUCUCCUGCACAACAGGGGCAUUUGUCUCCCCUCUCUGCUCUCACUGGUCUUUAUCAGUUCAUAAAAUGUCAAAGGGAGGGUCACUGGCUCUGCUUCUGGGGGUACAGAGAGAAAGUGUCAGGGUCUUCAGCAGAAGAGAAAGAUGUCACCCCUGAGUUCCUAAUCUUUGCUUGCAUCUUAUAACCAUUGUCCUGAUGCCUGGUCCCUAAUAGGUGGUAUAAAACCAUAGUUUCUUUAAGCUUUUGUGUGUUAAAAGUUCUUUUAUGUCUUGGGUAUCAAACCCAUUAUCUUUCAUGGCUGCCACAAUUUCAGAGUCUUGGCAGCUGGUGUCUCCAUCACAGUGACUUGUUAAAGUCUCAUCGCCUUUCAUAGCCAUGGAUGCUGCCUCAUUGGAUUUUGUACAGUUGGCUUCUACUUAGCAUUCAUUGUUAAUAAUGGACUAAUAAUGCAUGCUUAGUAAAUCUUUGAGAAAGUUAUGUGGGAUGUCAUACUGCAUUUGCAAAACUUUUUUGCUAAGCUCUGAUAAGGUGGGCCCUGCAAAUGGAAUAGACCCCAGUUGCUAUAUAGGAUAAGAGGACACAAAAAGUCAAUUUUGGGAUCAUCAUAAGGAAUGCCCAGAAAGAAUUCUGUGAGGAAGGAAUAAACUGAAAUGUUGCAACAGGCUUGAAUCUUGCAACUACACAAGACUUUAUUAUUUUUACACUUCUGCUCCCAUUCCACUAACACAUUAUCAGAAAGCAGGUAUCUAUCUAUAAGCUGUAUCUUCAUCAGGGCAGCAGCCUACAGCAAGGAGAAUCUGUUGGAUUUUUUCUUUUUCCUCUUUCAGGAUGUUGGUCUUCUGGUUGUGAUAGUUUUUCUCCCUCAGUUACUUCCACGAUUUAAAAAGUAUUUUAUUUGGUUACUUAGAGGGGAAUGAUGUUGGGGUAUUUGAUUUUUUUCACAAUGGCCACCUCUGCAAUCGCUGCUUUGGAACCACUUCUCCUGCUUCAGCAAAACUUUCACAGUGACUGACUCACCUGUGAGACGAUGGGAGACUAAUUUAGCCUUGGCCUGAAAUAUUUAGGGUAGUGAUUAUGUCUUCAUCAAAGAUGAUGGGUACAGUGCUGGGCCCUGAUGUUGCCUCCCUUGCCACUGUACAUUGUAGGUGGGAAUGCUACGUCAAAAAGAGAACGUAGCAGAAGAAAUGAAGUCUGAAGCACAAGAAACAACUAAAACCAAAGAAAACCAACACUACAUUUAAACAAAAACUCAAUGCCAAGUGAAGAAAAAAAUGAAAAAGGAUAGAUAUGAAAGAAAUGGUACACUCUAAAAUAACCAGGAAAAAAUAUACAACAGGUAAAACCAGAAAAUGAAAACUAAAGUUCAGCUCAACCAAACAAAAAUGUUCAAAAAUCAAACCUAACUAAAUGCCAAAUUGUAGUAAAUUCCACAGAAUCCAGAGUAUUACUAGAGGCAAAGAAAUAUAUUACAAGGAAAAAAAGAGACUGAAAGAAAGUAAAAGAAAUACCAAAAUAUAACCUUUAAAAAUUUGAACAAAAGUCUCAAACAAAAAUGAAAAUUAGAAUGAAGAUAAUCUACAAAGACCAAAAUGUGAAAAGGAACCAGGAACCUAGUGAAUGAAAGACGAAUGAAGUAAACCAUAAAGUGGGGGAGAUUGCUCAGUCCACAAAGUUCCUCCAUCGCAAGUGUGAGGCCGGGAAGUACAGUGAAAGAACACCAAUCUCAGUGCAAGGUGAGCCAACAGGUGUGUAUUCCUGGGACUCAUCGGAUGGCUAGCCUAAUCUACUUAGAAACUAUAGGCCAGUAAGAGACUCUGCUUAAGCAAAGUGGCCAGCAGACCUGAAAUAAGUCAGGUGGCAUUGCACUCUUUGGCACCACCAGCAAGCUUCCAUUGAGUUCAAAUUGGAAGUUGCUUGAAGUUCAAAUGGUGACGGCUAUGAGUGAGCUAUGAGGUAAGGUUCUUUCUGUGCAUAAGAAAGAUGUACUGGGUAUUGGCAUCCUUGAAGGGCUUUCACUGUUUUUCUGAAACCUACAUGGCUACUGGAGGUCUGUCUUGCUCUUACUUAGGGCUCUCAAGAGAUGUAUGAAUGUCCUGCCUCAAAAGUUGCUAUCAUAUGUGAGACAAGAUGGUGGUGGCAGGAACAGGAUUUCCCUUAACUGGACUUUGGAGUGCAUGACAGUUCUGACAUUGCAGGUACCUCAUCCAAACACAGUCUUUGCCCUAGCUCUGGCUUCGCAGAGGCCCUGUUGUGUGUAAAGAGCUCUCUGAUGGCCUUACGGGAGACUUUGGGCAUUCGCCUUAGAGCAAAUGCUAUGAACAAGCUGCCCCUUCUUCCAUGGUUGCUAGUGAGUCAGAAGAGGCUACAAGUACACAUACCCAUGUCUAUUUAACUCUGUAGAGGGCACUUUGGAGAGGAAGCCAAGAUCUAGAAGGUGUUCCAAUGUAUCUUCUUUUGCCUACAGAGGGGUGGUCAUUAGCAUUGGCUCCCAAGACCAACCCUCAUAGAUUGUGAUCUCUUGGCCCAAGGAUCUUUUAAAAAGAAGCACCUAGUGUGUAUGUGUAUAUAUAUAUGUACUUUUUAAAAUUCUGCACAGGGAUCCAAUCUCUAUGACUGGAAAGUCUCCUCUUCUGUGAGCAGACCCCGGCCUGGGUCAAGAGUUAAUUGAGCUGGUUCUUGAAGCUUGAUAGAUGCUUGAAGAUUACUGUAGUGCAUAAGUCCUCCUGGGGACUUUAGGAAAGCUCCCAGACCAACAGAUGGGUUUGAGGGGUAGUAGAUCCUAGUGCUUAAGAGUAUCCUUACAGAUGUUCACUGGUUGUGCCAUAGAUCCUGCUCCCCUGAUGAUCUUUGGGACUAUGACCACUUUUGUUCUCAGAUAACCUCUGCCCUACCUUCAAUGGGUCUAGGCCUCUCUCAGUGAAGAUGUUCUCUGUAUAAAGACUACCUUAUGUUUUUUAUAAAGUUUACCUGGAAACUUAACAGGCCCCAUAAUUUAACAGUAUGCAUACAUGUAAUUUAAUCUAUUGAGUAUGUGCUUUGAAUUCAGCUUUCUCUUGUUAAGGUGCUAUUACACAGCACUAUAUUCUAAGCCAAACAACUGCCAAGGAUUGCUAUGCCAAAUUUCAAAGGAUCAUCACUGCUAGUCUUGUUGAUUAUUGGCUUGUUAAUGUUAUUAUGUCUCAGAAAAUGCCUGGAUAUUUUUCCAUGAUGGAAAAGAAAGUUGGAAAGCUUAAGCAAAUUAUACGGGUCUGAGCAAGUUAUAUAAGGUAUGUAAACAGUCAGAAUUCAAUACAUUGAUGUCAAAGCUCUGCUUAAAUAAAUGGCCUGUUCUCCCUAACAAUUACAAAGAUUGUUUGAGGAAAAAAAUGUUUAUUUAAUCAAAAUGUAUUUAAAUAUUUGGUUGUCAGUGGCAUCCUGGGUGUUCAAUAACCAUACUUGGAGACCAUACUAAUGUGGUCAGAGGGAUUAAAAAGGAGAAUAUAUUCCUCCUUGGCCCCCAAGAUCAAGUAGGUCGGACAAGCAUCUCACACAAAGUGCUUUUUAACUGUGAGGAAUCACCUUUUCUGUUGUUCAGGGAGGUCAUGGAGACGCCAACCAGUAUACUCAAACCACUGUCCAGUCUACAAAGAGGAGGGCCUAUAAAGGACCCUCCAUGGAUCUUGCUUCCAUGUUUCCAAGUAAAGCCAUAGCUAAGCAUAAAUUCUCCUCCCGUAGAAUGAGCAUACUUGGAAAAGGAAGGUUAGACGCUCAAGCUCAAGUGACCCUCAAGGACAAUAUCUUCAACUGGCCUUGACAAUAAAAAAUAGAGUUAAUUUUGUCCACCUGUAUGGUCUUAAACACCCAGCAGGAAAGUAUAACCAAAAAUAAAUAAAUAAAUAAAAUGACUGGUGUAUUUCUUGAACAGUUUAAGGGACCAUACUCCCUAGACAUUAGGUUUAAAGCCACAUGGGUUUAGACAACCAUUUCUCAUUAGUGAUUUUCUUCUUGAUAAGAAAAAUGCUGCCUAGAUAUAAAAUGUCAAUGCCUUGGCUCAACUCAGCACUGCAUCAUCUAUCUCCAACCAAGAGAGAUAAUCCCCAUAGUUUUAAUUAUCAUUUUAUGCUUAGGUUAAAUUGAUUUUCUUUCUCCCUCUUUAGAAGCCAUGUGAACCAAGCUCAUCCCAACAGCUGCCAAAGUGUCUGAAAGUAGAUCCUGGGUCCACCCUUCCCCAUCCCAGCCUUGGAUCUGCUGCUGCUAUGUGAAACGUUUCUGAAAACAGUGACCUAUUUUGUUUGUAAUGCAGUGGCCUCUAGUAUUCUCCUCUCUACUCCUUCAGCCCUUCCACUUCUACAGAUGGCCCUUUACGUGGAGCCUCAGAUACGUACAGCCUGUCUAAAGAAGCCGGGUUCCAGAAGCCUGCCUUGUGGGAGUUCCCUGCCUCUUGGACUGACACUCCCCUGGACUCCGCCCCCUCACAGCAUGAAGCAGCUAGAGCGGUCAUCGUCCCCUUUCCUGACAAUAAUUGGUGUCAAUCUCUGAAGUGGGGAAGGAAGGCAGGUUAGAUGGACAUAGGUAGACUAGGAAAGUGAGAGCAGACUUCCUGACACAAGGCUUCUUAUUCUCAGAAGACACUGUGAGACAGGGUAUGAAAGCUGAAACUAUAGAGGAAGGGAGGACAAAGGGGCCCUAUAAAAUACCUACGCCAGAAGCCUUUUAGAGAAAUUCUAGCCUUUGCUAUCACCUAUCCUCUAGGAAUAAAGCUGUUACUUU